rnacentral:rRNA from 1 species
UACGUAGGGUGCAAGCGUUAAUCGGAAUUACUGGGCGUAAAGCGUGCGCAGGCGGUUGUGCAAGACCGAUGUGAAAUCCCCGGGCUUAACCUGGGAAUGGCAUUGGUGACUGCACGGCUAGAGUGUGUCAGAGGGGGGUAGAAUUCCACGUGUAGCAGUGAAAUGCGUAGAGAUGUGGAGGAAUACCGAUGGCGAAGGCAGCCCCCUGGGAUAACACUG